rnacentral:rRNA from 1 species
CGACCGGCGCGACGGGUGAGUAACGCGUAUGCAACUUACCUAUCAGGAGGGGGACUAACCCGGCGAAAGUCGGACUAAUACCGCAUGAAGCAGGGGCCCCGCAUGGGGAUAUUUGCUAAAGAUUCAUCGCUGAUAGAUAGGCAUGCGUUCCAUUAGGCAGUUGGCGGGGUAACGGCCCACCAAACCGACGAUGGAUAGGGGUUCUGAGAGGAAGGUCCCCCACAUUGGUACUGAGACACGGACCAAACUCCUACGGAAGGCAGCAG